UACAGAGGUCCCAAGCGUUGUUCGGAUUUACUGGGCGUAAAGGGUGCGUAGGUGGCGAGGUAAGUUCGAUGUGAAAUCUCCGAGCUCAACUCGGAAAUGGCAUUGAAUACCAUCCCGCUUGAGGGUCGGAGGGGAGACUGGAAUUCUCGGUGUAGCAGUGAAAUGCGUAGAUAUCGAGAGGAACACCAGUGGCGAAGGCGAGUCUCUGGACGACUCCUGACACUGAGGCACGAAAGCGUGGGGAGCAAACAGG
rnacentral:rRNA from 1 species